GAUGAACGCUGGCGGCGUGCCUAAUACAUGCAAGUCGAGCGAAUGGAUUAAGAGCUUGCUCUUAUGAAGUUAGCGGCGGACGGGUGAGUAACACGUGGGUAACCUGCCCAUAAGACUGGGAUAACUCCGGGAAACCGGGGCUAAUACCGGAUAAUAUUUUGAACUGCAUGGUUCAAAAUUGAAAGGCGGCUUCGGCUGUCACUUAUGGAUGGACCCGCGUCGCAUUAGCUAGUUGGUGAGGUAACGGCUCACCAAGGCAACGAUGCGUAGCCGACCUGAGAGGGUGAUCGGCCACACUGGGACUGAGACACGGCCCAGACUCCUACGGGAGGCAGCAGUAGGGAAUCUUCCGCAAUGGACGAAAGUCUGACGGAGCAACGCCGCGUGAGUGAUGAAGGCUUUCGGGUCGUAAAACUCUGUUGUUAGGGAAGGACAAGUGCUAGUUGAAUAAGCUGGCACCUCGACGGUACCUAACCAGAAAGCCACGGCUAACUACGUGCCAGCCGCCGCCGUAA
rnacentral:rRNA from 1 species